AUGGUGGGGCUGGUGGUAGGCGCGUCGGUGGCCACCAUGAAUUCCCUGCUGAGCAAGCUGGGCAGCCUGCUGGCGCAUGAGUACGCGCUCAUCAGCGGCGUCCGCGAAGACAUCCAGUACAUCAACGACGAGAUGGCCAGCAUGCAGGCCUUCCUCGGCGACCUCAGCAACACCAGCGCCGCCGUCGCCCGGGGCCAUGACCGCCGGAUGAAGGACUGGAUGAAGCAGAUCCGCGACGUCACGUACGACGUCGAGGACUGCGUCGACGACUUCGCGCACCGCCUCGCCCACGACCCCGGCGGCGGCGGCGGCGGCGGCGGCGGCGGCGACGUCUGCUGCGUCUUCCUCUCCACCACCGCCUACCAGGUCUGGACCUGGCGGCCCCGUCGCAGCAUCGCUUUGGCUAUCGUGAAGCUCAAGGUCCGCACGCAGCAGAUCGGGGAGCGGCGGGUCAGGUACGGCGUAGAGAACCCCACGAGCGGGGACGGCGAACCUCCCGCCGGGUUCAAGCCCGGCGACUACCAGGACCCACCCCUUGAGCUCAUUGGCACCAAGAAGCCCAUUGGAAUGGAAGAAGAGAUGAAGGAUCUCGGUAAGUGGCUGCAGCUACCUCCAUCCUCCCAUGAUGCCUCCUCCUCCUCCUCCUCAGAUCCUGCAUCCCAAUCCCAUCAGAAGCGUGCUGUGCUGUCCAUUGUCGGAUUUGGAGGGGUAGGCAAGACGACCAUCGCCACGGCGCUGUACCAGGAAUACGGCGUUCAAUUUGAGCGCCGGGCCACGGUCACGGUGUCGCAGAGUUCUGACAUUGAUGCGAUACUGCGGAUCAUACUCAGUCAAGUCAUGCCGCAGUCCAAAGAUGAUAUCGAGCAGCAAGGCGGCGGCAGCAGCAGCAGCAGUGGCGGCCCCUCACAGAAGAAGCGCCUCAUGGUUGCCAUUGGAGCAGUAUCGGCCCGUAUCAUGCGCAAGGACCGCAAGGACAGCGAGAAGCAAGGUGGCAGCACGUCCCAGACAACCAAAGAUCUCAGGCAGCAAUUGGAGACGCACUUGGAGGAACACAGUUUCUUGCUCUUAGUUGAUGAUGUGUGGUCUACAACAAUGUGGGAGAAGAUAAAUUGCUCACUUCCUAGAAGGGAGAAAGGCAGUAGUAGAGUAAUAGUUACCACACGGUUUCCAGCUGUUGCCAGUGCAUGCACAAGAGAUAAAGGAGAUCAUAUUCAUCAAGUAGUGGAACUUAGAGGGGACAAGCCUAAAAAACUAUUCAUGAAGGAAUUUGUAGUUAUCAAGGACAAGCAUAAAGAAUCACUCAUGACCGGAUCUGAAAUUAGCAAGGACAAGCCUAAAGAAAGCCAGGAGAAAAUUCCAUCCAGACUCUGGCAAAUGUGCGGGGGUCUGCCAUUGGCCAUAGUUACCAUGGCUGGGCACGUUGCCUGCAAUCCAGAAAAAGAGCUGAAUGAAUGGGAUGAGGUUUGUAGUAAACUGGUGCCACCCUCCGGGAAAGCUCUUGGCCAGGAUGGAGUUACUAGGAUACUCAGUCACUGCUACAAUGAUAUGCCUGAUGAGAUCAAGACUUGCUCCUUGUAUCUAUGCAUAUUUCCAAAGGGCCGCAAGGUCAGCAGGAAGCGGCUGACGAGGCGAUGGCUGGCAGAAAGAUUUGUCAGUGAGAAGGAUGGGCUGAGUGCUGAAGAUGUUGCAGAGGCAUAUUUCAAUCAUCUUGUGAGGAGGAAGAUCAUACGGGUUGCGGAGCACAGCAGCAACGGCAAGGCAAAGAGCUACCAAGUGCACGACAUGGUUCUCGAGUACAUCGUAUCCAAGGCAAGUGAGGAAAACUUCGUCACCGUGGUCGGUGGCCACUGGCUCAUGGCGCCACCUAGCAGCAAAGUCCGCCGUCUGUCCCUCCAAGGCAGUGACUCAAAACACAAGAAAACAACUGAGAGCAUGAACUUAUCUCAUGUCCGAUCUCUGACCAUAUUUGGGAGCUUGACCCAACUGCCUUCUAAUUCACUGAAGUUUGGAAUUGUGCAAGUACUAGACCUCGAAGGUUGCAAGGAUUUCAGACCGCAUCAUGCCCAGGAGAUAUGCAAGCUGCUUCUACUCAAGUACCUAAGCCUUCGAAGGACAGACGUCGACAAGAUUCCCAAAGAUAUUGGAAAGCUCCAGUAUCUAGAGACUCUUGACAUAAGAGAGACCAAUGUCACAGAGCUUCCAAACAGUGUAUGGCAGCUUGAACGAGUGGUGAACAUACUUGGUGGAAACAAAAGAACACGGAAGGCACUAAAGCUUCCAGGGGAUCUGAAGAAGGAAACGAUGAAAAACAUGCGCAUACUGUCAGGUAUUGAGAUUGUGGAGGGACCAGCUGGUGCAGUGGCAGACUUUCAUCAUCUGACAGAUCUGAGGAAACUCGCCAUUUACAAGCUCAACAUCAAGAAGGGUGGUAAGCUUUUUGAAGAACUGAGGUCCUUGAUAGAGUACGUUGGUGGCUAUUCUCUCCACACCCUGGUGAUUGAUGACGAGUCGUCUGAGUUUCUGAAAUCACUUGGUGCUCUCUCUUCCCCCCCAAAGUUUCUCAAUGCUCUCGAGCUGUCCGGCAAGCUGGUUGAGCUCCCACAAUGGAUCACAGAGCUGGAAGCUCUCACGAAGCUGACCCUCUCGGUGACGGUGCUCACUGUUGAUGCUUUGCACCAGCUGAGCAAGCUCAAGAAGUUGUUCUCACUCACAUUUUCACUUAAUGCCACAACGCUGGACCUAGAAAGAAGCACCACCAUUGAGGAGAACAAAGAGCAAUCUGAUGAGGAGAUCAUAGUUCUGGAAGGUGGAUUCGAGAAUCUCCAGCUUCUUCGCUUCUUGACUCCUUCUGUUCCGCUGAUAAGUUUUCCAGAUUCAUUGCCGAAGCUUCAAAGGCUUGAGCUGCGGUUCAGCACGUUUGAGGGAUUGUAUGGCUUAGAAAACCUUAAAAGCCUCAAAGAGGUGCACCUCAGGGUGCAUGACAAAGCAGGCGAGUUUACCAAGGCGUUAGUAGAAGAUAUGAAAACUGCGGCCAGGGAAGAUGACAAGCAUCCCAGAAUAAUUGUUGAUGAGUAUCAUGAGUGA
rnacentral:rRNA from 1 species